rnacentral:rRNA from 1 species
UGGGAUCUUGAGUUAGUAUCUAUUACUGAUGCGUAUCUCUUGUGCUCAGUCGCCGAUUUAAUCCUGCCGUGGUGCUCUUUACCGAGUGUCGAGGUAGGCCGGCACGUUUACUUUGAACAAAUUAGAGUGCUCAAAGCAGGCUG